UUUUGUCAUUAUACUCGCUGAAUCAUUAAUUAAAACUCUUUUCUUCAUAUUUUGCUAAUUAGAAGCAUAUUGGGGUUUGCAAUAAGAAUGUAGUAUGUCGUAUAGCAUGUUGUAGUUGGUGUACCAGAAGAUGGUUUUUUAUUACUGAAGCCAUGUGCAAGGCUUUUGUCCAUUUGUUGUUUGUGAAUUGCUUAGGUUGUUGUGCAUAAGUUUCUUCCCCAAUAGAUCUACAACAUUGUAAUCUUCAUUUAUAUAUCAGUUAAGAAAUAUGUUUGAAAAUCUAUUUAUGGUGACAGAUAUAGAAAAUAUGUUUUUGGAAUUUGUAUUGUAACUUUAAACUUAUCAGUUAUUAUUCUUAUUUGAUGAUUUUCUGGUGACGCUGAUAGGAUAACUUGAAAAAAUUUGUGAUCAAUUGAUGAAAUAAAAUUUUCUUGAAAGAAAUAGGGGCAGUGGGAAGUCCAAUGCCGUCAUUCUCUAGUCACAAACCAGAGAUCCACGAUGUUGUUUUUUGGUCUUGAAUUGGUUUUGGUUCCAUUUUUAGUUUGAUUUUGGUUGGUUGAUUUUGUUUGGUUCGAUUUUUGUUUGGUGAUAUGUCAUUGUAUCAGUUUAGUUUGGAUCUGGAAGGUGUGUGGUGGAAGGAAUAAUUGUUUUUUGGUGGUUUUGGACAGAGGAGCAGCCGGUUCCUACCCUCCAUCCUUCCACCUGUAUGAUGGAGAUGAACAGCCUUUCUGUAAGGCAGGGCGUGAGGGAACAGUCCCUAUCUUUGAAAUGCCUACCAUUUCAAUUCAUCCAAAGGCACCACAUAAUACAAUGAGGAAUUGUUUUCCACACCUCAGCAAUAUCAAUGGUAACCCAAAGACCACUUCAACACCUGAAAGUAUCCAUAUUACCCUUCUAGGCAUUACCCAUUUCACACCAGUCCAGUUGAAGAUGUCAUCCCACAAAAAUCUGGCUACCUCAUAAUCUAACAAAAUAUGAUCAACAGUUUCCCCAUUUUUCUUACACAAAUAGCACCAAUCCCAAAUAAUAAUACCAUGUUUCCUCAACUUAUCAAUGGUGAGAGUUUUCCCAAAGGAAGCAGUCCAACCAAAGAAAGCAAUCUUGGGAGGUACUUUGAUGACCCACAAGGACCACAUAAAAGGAUCGAACAGUAAAUUUUCUACUCCCAUUUGGAAUCCAAAUCAUCCUAUCCUCCACUGCAGUAUCAGUAUUCAAAGCAUACAAUAAACUAAAAAAAAUCAGCAAUGAUACCUAGUUCCAAUCCUGAACCACACUGAUGAAACAAACAUUUCACAAGAUAGGACCAUUAGAACUAUCCCUCAAAUCAACCACAAUAGCUUCCUUCCAACCUCAAACGAAAGCAUUCCGAGGCUUUGAUAUAUUACUUCCCAUGACCGAACUCAAUGGUAUUUCAGCAUAGAGUCUGGUGGAAGAACUCAGUAUAUCCAUCCCCUUCUUUCAGCAUUGAGCCCGGGGUUUUUGUCUCCAUGAUAUUUCUUCCAUUAAAAGUACCUUCUCAACCUCCGAGGAUACAGAGCAUUUCCUAAUGGAAUCCUCAGCUGAAAGAGAACCAGUCAUCUACCUUCCCUCCAAAGCGUUCCAAACCUUCAGGUCCUUCAAGGCCUUGAGUUUUCUUGCAAACAUUUUUUUUAUAAGUGUUUUCCUGCCAAAGUUAAACUUGGGGUGCCCUCCAAGUAAUAAGAAGACCACCAAGAUCUCGCCUUAUCCCCAAAGCCAUAAACUUUCAGCCACAUAUUCUCGAACUUGAAGUAUCUUCUGCCUUCAUGAAUGCCCCCACAAUCAAACAAGAUAGGGAAGUGGUCAGAAUAGAAGCUAGGUUAUCUCUUCUGAUACAACAAAGGGAAAUAAGCCUCCCAAGAAUCUGUUCAAUCUAGACCAAGCCUGAUUGUUGGACCAAGUGCACGUAUCUCUAGCAAGAGAAUGGGGGACGAGUUAAAAAUGUUUAAAAUCUUUGACAAAUACAACUCUCUGUGUGUAUGCAUGGUGUCAUUUAGGUACACACUAUGUAUGUAUGUUGUUUUCUAUGUGAUACUAUAGUUAACCAUACAAUGAAAACUUUGGCAAUAUAAAAAGAAAAGGAAAGGUAGUUGGUGAAUGCUGUUUAAAGAAAACCAUUUCUGAACACAAUGUUACUUAGACAUAGUCUAGUUAAAGCCCCGUUUGGUUAUAAGACUCAAUUGAGAUCAACUCAGUUCAGUUUAAUUUUAAGCCGAGUCUAACAUUCAAACAUUCAAACACCAAAUUCUAAAACUACUUUUUCUUUUUUAUGGGUAAUCAAGAAAUUAUAUUCAUAGCAAUAGGCAAAGCCCAAAUACACAGGAAGUAUACAUGAGAAAUACCUUGCUAGAGGUUACAAUAGAAAGAAGAAAGUCAUGGACCCUAAUUCCGACCCUAAUUCCGUUACAAACUAUGGCCACUGCCCAUAAGACUUUUUUUUUUUUGUCACCACUCACGCCGUUACGUACGCUAGACCACAACAUCAAACAUCCAAACACCCAACUUUCAAAUUACUAAACUAAUCUUAACUCAAAACCCCUUUACACAUAGAACCCACAAUCUUUUUCAACUAAGCACUUCUUAAUAUGUGGGACCCACAACCUUUUUCAACUUCCCAUAAAUAGUACUAAACUCAUCUUAACAUCCAAAUACAUCUAAACUCAUUUAGAUUGGCCCCACAUAACUCACUCUACCAACUCAACUCACUACUAUUUAUAAAGAGCUCAGUUUAGUUCAGCUCAGCUUAACAUUCAAAUGCAGCCUAAGUGUACGUUUGGGUGGUAGGUGCCCCUCUAGAAUAAAAUGUAUAUGAUUUUGCAGUGUUCUUAUUUGUGGCAAUUAAAACUCAGCCAUAAAGAAAGUAGCAAAUAUGGAAAGCUAUUCUGUUGUGUUAUCUGGUGACUGCUUGGCAGUAUCCUGUUCAUUUCUUAUCUAGCUAUUUUGUAAAGAUUCAAUGGAAGUUCUAGCCAUAUAUCUUAUAUGCACUAUAACCUGGUAUAGUCAAUUUAAAAAGAAAAGAAAAUUUGAAGUUUCUCUAUAAUUAUUUAUAAAUACAUUGUUUGCAUAGUAUGUGGCCAAUGUAGAACUUAGCACUCAUGACUACCUUUAUAAUUUAGCCACACUGUGAAUAAUUUCUUUUUCCCAUUAAUGUGGGACUGGGGUGUUACAUAUUUGUUGAUCUUUUGAAGUUGGGGAUUGUAACUUUUAGUUUCUGUUCUUGAAUACUUGUAUACUUCAUAGUUGUCUACUUAAUAGAAUGACACCCUACGUAUAAAAUAAUUGAUGUCUAAGUGUCAUUGUGUAAAUAUAUAUAUAUAUAUAUAUAAUUUGUGGUCCUGGAUUGAUAUUUUUGUAGAAUUUUUGUUUGUAGAUUUAGAUGUAAAGAGGAUGUAAGAAAUUUAAGAGGGGAGUUCGUAAGACCCCACUCCCACAUUAGCAAUAUGCAUAACCACUAUUCGGCUAGUGCUUUCGUUGGGUCAUUUGACUCUCUGUCUCUUUUUAUCUCUCUCUGUGUUGUAAUACAAUAUAUGCAGGUGAGUUAUUAUCAUUGUUUUUUUUUUUCCUUUUCUUUUGUUCUUCUUCUUCUUCUUCUUCUUCUUCUUCUCCUUAUUGAUUUAUUUUUUUUACCUCUAGUAAUUUCAGAAUUACAGAAUUGAGGUCUUUUAUGUCCUUAUUUUAAAAUGCUUCCAGUCUUCAUGGGGUAAUUUGUAGGUCACUGGUAGAUUAGAAAUGUAUUACCUUCAGGUUGAGUUUUCUAUAGCCAAUUAUUGAACUGCAAGAUGUAAAACGGCAUUCAUAUGUAAAUUUCUAUUUUGAGACUUCUUUUAUACUUUUGGUGCCCUGGAGUUCUUUUCCUAGUAGAUUUUUAGGCAUUCUUGUUCAUCAUCUACCCUUUUUUUCAUUGCCCAAAUCGCACUUUUUUUUAUUGCUUAAUGAAAUGUUUUUUAAUUGCCCAAAUGACACUUAUUAAGUGGAUUUUUGUAGUUUCAUUCUAUAUUUGAUGUUGGAGAUGAAGGUAAGCAUGCUUCAUUCGAGUAGAUAUUGACAUAAUACACUUGGCUUUCUACUAAUGUACUGCUUCUAUUUGAACUUUUUGGUGCAUAGCCAACAGAACAAAUGCCUUUUCAGCACCUAGAUCUAGGCAAUG